rnacentral:rRNA from 1 species
AUUGAACGCUGGCGGCAGGCCUAACACAUGCAAGUCGAACGAGUGGCGGACGGGUGAGUAAUGUCUGGGAAACUGCCCGAUGGAGGGGGAUCACUACUGGAAACGGUAGCUAAUACCGCAUCCCAUCGGCUGUGCCCAGAUGGGAUUAGCUAGUAGGUGGGGUAACGGCUCACCUAGGCGAAGAUCCCUAGCUGGUCUGAGAGGAUGACCGGCCACACUGGAACUGAGACACGGUCCAGACUCCUACGGGAGGCAGCAGUGGGGAAUAGGGCACAAUGGGCGCAAGCCUGAUGCAGCCAUGCCGCGUGUAUGAAGAAGGCCUUCGGGUUGUAAAGGACUUCCAGCGAGGAGGCGUUACUCGCAGAAGAAGCACCGGCUAACUCCGUGCCAGCAGCCGCGGUAAUAC